GGAGUGUGAGCGGCAAAAACGACACCGGAUCGAAGCUCGCUCUUGUUUCUCCUUCCCCACUUUUUCUCUCUUUCUCCUUCUCCUUCUCCUGCCGACAAGAUUCUUAACUAAGGAUGAAGGUCCGUUCAUCGGUAAAAAAAAUGUGUGAAUUUUGUAGGACAGUGAAGCGACGUGGACGCGUGUAUGUCCUAUGCACUGUUAAUCCGAAGCACAAGCAGCGUCAAGGCCUCUCUUCAUUUGCAUAUGAAGCUCCACUACCCCCACUGUCAUUAGGGACAAGUUCGAAAGAGAUGACGUCAUCAUCGGUGGAGAAAAGUGGUCUCCCAUCUCUUAUAUCCCACAAGAAUCAGACAUUAACAGUGACACCGUGGUGGAGAGUUGGUCUUGUCUCUCGUCUCUUCAAUCAGGGCUAGAACACCAUCUCGUUUCUGCUUUUAAUGGUUUCUUUAAACUUUUACCGAGUUAAAUAAACAAGUUUUACCUAGUAUCGGAUGCUAUUAUUACUCUUCUAGAGUUCCCCUCAAUUGUUUUACUAUACAACAAAUUUCAUGGAUGGAUAUUUUCUUACGAUGUAUCUCAAAGCCCGUUUCUUCUUUUUGUCUGAUGAAUGUCAAAACAGCAUUUGGUUUUGUAUUUA